UUCAAAUAAAUCGGGGGAGGAGGAUAUAUGUCCGAACAAGGUUAUAACUACAAUCGAUAAUAACAAGAACAGUGAUAUUUUUAAGAAUGGAUACAAAAAAAAAUAUACUUGUAAAAACUGUAAUUGCGUUAUAAGUGAAAAGUUGUAUGAAAAAAAAAAAAAAAUAUUAACCAAUAUGUUUCACAUAGAAAAAUAUUAUAAUCAAAAACAAAAAAAGAUUAAUUAUUCAACGUAUGACCUAACAAUUUUAAAAGAAUACUUUCGCACAUAUUUGAGCAAAUACUUUAGUGAUAUUAUUCUUUUACUGGAAUAUUACUUUUUUUUUAUGGAUAGUAAAACCAAAACAGUUAUACAGGAGCAGAACAAAAAGAGUAAGACAUCCAGUAAUAUAAAUUAUAACAAAACAAGAGACUUAGUAUAUAACUUUAUGAGUUCUUGUAGCUACGAUAAUUUUUAUAACUGUCAUAAAUUACAAUGCUUAUCAAUAGAAGAUGAAACAUAUUUAAAAAAUGAUUAUAACUACAGAUCGUUAAGAAACUUACGGUUGUUUAUAAAAAAUGAUAUUAUUCAGUUUAUUAAUAAAAACAUGAACAUAAUGAAUGAACAUGUGAAUUUAUAUAUAGGGAAUGUAAGAAAGGCAUUACGCUUAUUUUUAAAAAAAAUAAAUAAUAUAAACAACUAUAAUAGGAAUAAUAAAGUUUCUGUUUUUAAAAUAUUCAUCAGUUUAAUAUUAAAAUGUGAAAAAUAUCAUGAAACAAAAUAUUUAAAAAAUAUGUUAAAAAAAAAAUUAUACAACACACAAGAGGAUGAAGAAGAAAUUAUAAAUACAAUUUUAACAACAAAAAAUAAAAAAAAAUUUUUGGAAAACUUUGGAAUAAAUUACUAUACUUUAUCAAAAAAUAUAACUAUGUUUUUAAAAUUUAUUAAUGAUGGCAACAAAAAAAAUAACACUUUUAGUAAAAAAAAACAAACAAAUAAAGGAUACAUAAAUUUAAACAAAAACAAUUACAACGAUAACAUGUUUACAAAUAAAUUCGAUACAUGCGACGAGUAUGAUAAUUAUAUUUCAAAUUUGAUGGAUAUCAUAAAACAUCAGUUAAAAUUAAAAAAAUUAUUAUUGCAAAGAAGAAUGAAAAAAAAAAAUGAAAUAUUAGAAGUUGUAGUAGACAAUAACAAAAACAGAGAAAUGUUGUUAUUACUGUCUGACACAUAUGAAAUUAUUACAUCUAGUAAUAUUGAUCAAUAUAACAAUUUAAAAAUAUUUAUUACAAAAGAAGAAAAAAAAAAAAAAAAAAAAAAAAAAAAAAAAAAAAAAAAAAAAAAAAAAAAAAAAUUUGUUUCCAUAUGGAGGAUAUGUCUAUUCCAGAAGACAACAAAUUAAAAAGUAUAUCCACUAUUAUGGAUUUAAAAAAUAUGCAACAAAAUAAUACAAAUAUUGAUAACAAAAACAAUAAAUAUAAAACAUUAAUAAAUAAACA
rnacentral:lncRNA from 1 species